rnacentral:rRNA from 1 species
UACGUAGGGUGCAAGCGUAAUCGGAAUUACUGGGCGUAAAGCGUGCGCUAGGCGGUUUUGUAAGUCCGUGUCGUGAAAUCCCCGGGCUCACCUGGGAAUUGACGAUGGAGACUGCAAGGCUGAGAAUCUGGCAGAGGGGGGUAGAAUUCCAACGUGUAGCAGUGAAAUGCGUAGAUAGUGGGGGAGGAACACCGGGUGGCGAAGGCGGCCAUCUGGACGGAGUACUGAACGCGUGAGAGGCGAAAAGCGUCGGGGGAGC